GCCUUUGUGGCGUAAUGGCCAGCACGCUGGGCGCAAAUUCGAGAGGUCCGAGGUUCGAGUCCCGGCUAGGGCA
rnacentral:tRNA from 1 species